UGCCUAACACAUGCAAGUCGAGCGAGAAAGUCCCGGCAACGGGAUGAGUAAAGCGGCGAACGGGUGAGUAACGCGUAGGUAAUCUACCCUCCGGAUCGGGAUAACCUGCUGAAAGGUGGGCUAAUACCGGAUAAUGUUCUUGCGAGGAUCUCAUGGGAACCAAAGGGGGCGAGCGUAAGCAGCUUCUACCGAAGGAGGAGCCUGCGUCCGAUUAGCUAGUUGGUAGGGUAACGGCCUACCAAGGCGACGAUCGGUAGCCGGCCUGAGAGGGCGACCGGCCACACUGGAACUGAGACACGGUCCAGACUCCUACGGGAGGCAGCAGUGGGGAAUAUUGCGCAAUGGGCGAAAGCCUGACGCAGCGACGCCGUGUGGGUGAUGAAGGCCUUCGGGUCGUAAAGCCC
rnacentral:rRNA from 1 species